rnacentral:rRNA from 1 species
UACGAAGGGGGCUAGCGUUGCUCGGAAUCAUUGGGCGUAAAGGGUGCGUAGGCGGCGAGGUAAGUCAGAUGUGAAAUCCCGGAGCUUAACUCCGGAACUGCAUUUGAUACUGCUUUGCUUGAGGACUGGAGAGGAGAUCGGAAUUCACGGUGUAGCAGUGAAAUGCGUAGAUAUCGUGAGGAAGGCCAGUGGCGAAGGCGGAUCUCUGGACAGUUCCUGACGCUGAGGCACGAAGGCCAGGGGAGCAAACGGG